AACCUCAUUUGUAGAUGGUUGACACAAGGCUUUUCCGAGAAUAGCUCUAUCCAUAGUACAUAUAUGAUCUAAGACUGUAAUUUUGUAACAAACAAAUUAUCAUUUAUCAAAAUACAGAAUAGAUUAGUUCACAUCAUCCGCAUUCCGCUUUGCCGAUAUGAUAAUAUUGAGAUAUCAAUUAUCAAUUUUUUCAAUUAGGUAAUAGGUAAUCUAUUAUCUUUUAAAAGUUUUAACUUUUUAGCAUAUUAAAAUUGAAGUACGGUAAUGACGUUAACCAACUAUGAUGCGUAAUAAACGUGAGAAAGAUGGAUUUUAAAUGGCUGAAGAGAUACCGGUUUUUUUGUAUCGGAGGAUCAAUAAUAAUAUGUAUUCAAAUUAUCCUGGCUUUUGUUUUUCUUUCUAUUCAAGAUUAUACUGCUAUUGAAGAGUUUUCACCAAAUUCUUUAAAUAGAUUGCGAAACACAGCAGAUUUUGGAAUUGGUGAUGAUGACGAAUCUAGUUACAAUAAUGUACCUAGUGGGGGAAGUAAUCGUAACAAAUUCCCUCUAGAUAAAGAUAAUAUUGUUUCAUCUAAUGAAGACUUUAGAGUCCUUCAACAGCGAUAUAACUAUAAGACUGAUAAUUUAAAAACAAUAGGAGUAGAUGAAUUAGGAUUUACACCACCAUGUAAUAUAAAUGGACGCGAGCCUGUAUCAGCUUUACAAAGAGCAAAGACUCAAGCUUGUAAACAGUUAAUAGCUAACAUAUCAUGUCUUAUGAAGACCAGUCCACCAUAUCCUCACAGACUGACUCAUCAAUGUCCUUCUCAUGAUUUGAAAAAUAUUAAAGAAUUAGGAUGCUACCGUGAUGGAAGAGAAACUAAAUUAUUACUAGGCUAUAAAACUACUUUGGCAUUUACAAAUUCUCAUAAUAAUUGUUUAGAUAUUUGCUUACAAUAUGGAUUUGUUUAUGCUGGAGUUGAAUAUGGAACUGAAUGUUUUUGUGGUAAUGAGCUUCCAGAAUGGGAUCUUAAACUUCCAGACACAUUUUGUGAUAUGAAAUGUCCAGGAAAUCAAAGUCAAAUAUGUGGAGGACACUAUACUAUAAAUGUCUUUAAAACCGGUGCUUCUAAAUUUAUCGCAAAAGUAGCUUCAGAACCAAUAUUAAUUCAAAAGCACAAUGAUUCACCUGUACGUAUUGUUUUUCUAUUGACUUUGAAUGGACGAGCUGUCAGGCAGGUUUAUAGGUUGAUCAAGGCGCUCUUUCAUCGUGAUCAUUAUUUUUUUAUUCAUGUGGAUGCAAGACAUGACUAUAUGUUUAGAGAGUUAUUAAAAAUUGAAUUAACGUUAAGCAAUGUCAGAUUAUCUCGACGAAGACAUUCAACUAUUUGGGGUGGGGCAUCAUUACUAACUACUCUUGUGGAUGCAAUGACUGAUCUUGUUCAGUCCUCUUGGGACUGGGAUUUUGUCAUUAACCUUAGUGAAUCUGAUUUUCCAAUUAAGUCAAAUGAUGCAUUAGUUAGAUUUUUAGCAGCUAAUCGUGAAAAAAAUUUUGUUAAGUCACAUGGUCGUGAAGUACAGCAAUUUAUACAAAAACAAGGAUUAGACAAGACAUUUGUCGAGUGUGAAGCAAGAAUGUGGCGUGUAGGUGAAAAAGAAUUACCCAAAGGCAUCGUUUGGGAUGGUGGUAGUGAUUGGUUGGCAUUAUCUCGGCCAUUUGUCAAUUACUUGGUCACUGGUGAUAAACUGAUUUCUGGCUUGAUGCAAUUUUUCAAGUACACAUUAUUACCAGCUGAGUCAUUUUUUCAUACUGUUUUGAGAAACUCUCCAUUCUGUAAUAGCUACAUAGAUAAUAAUUUACAUGUUACUAAUUGGAAAAGAUGGCUUGGGUGUAAAUGUCAGUAUCGUCAUGUAGUUGACUGGUGUGGAUGUAGCCCAAAUGUUUUCCGUUCUGAUGAUUGGAAUCGUAUUAAGAAUACUGAGAAAAAACAAGUAUAUUUUGCCCGCAAGUUUGAACCAGUCGUUAGCUUAACUAUUAUUGACAUGGUUGAAGUAUGGUUAUAUGGAAAUUAUCCCAAUGAUAUGAAAAAUCGUUUGAGUUACUGGCAAAAUGUAUACCAUUUUGAAGAUACUCAACCAGAACCCAAUGAAGUAUUGCUCACUAUUGGAACUAGUCUAGCAAGAACUGCUAUAAAAUCAUUUAAAACCCAUUGUCAUGUCCGUAGUACGGAUAAGCUCUUCCAAGUUUUCACUUACCAUUAUAAAGAUCAAUUUAAAGGUUUUUUAAUACAAUAUGAAGUAAGUUUUUCAAACAAUUCUUCCAAAGUAUUAAUUGAAAGUUGGUGUUGGCCAAAAUUACAGAAUGUUAUUUUAGUUAACAAAGAACCUAUCAAUAGAUUAAUGACUUUCAUGGUAAGCUCUAAUUUUGACCAAAAAGAACAAAUGUCUCACGACUUUAUCCACCUUAUUGGACCACACACAGAGCCAGUACUCAUUCAUCAAUGGGCUCUUGGUGACUUCAGUUUUAGUAUUACUUUUUUAUGGUUAAAUCCUUAUGGAGAGUUAGCAAAUGUAACGUCAGUAAAUAUUGAAGAAUCUGCAUUGAUAACAUUUGGAAAACCAGUAUUACAAAUGCCCUUAGAACAAGGAAUAUGGACUGUAUUAUUGAUUUAUGAAAACAAAACAGUGGCGUAUACACAAUUUUUAGUUACUUCAUUGCAGUCUUCCAGGAAUAAACCAAUGUUUUCUAGUCAUACAAGAUUUUUUAAUAAAGAUCAAAAACAUGAAAAAAAUGUUAAAGAUUGGGAAAAUUUAAUACAAUUAUUUAACAAUACAAACAAAUUUGAUACUAAAAGUAAAUCAAAUGAUCAUAUAAAAAUCAAACUAACUAGUUGGAUUGAUAGCCUAAUGAUCAAAUUUUAUAAUAUUAUAGAUACUUGUAUGGUUGUUCCCCGUAGAUCAGUUCAUAAUUGUGAACUUAAAGAGUUAAUCCCGUGUUCAGAAACAUCUUGGAGUUCCUAUUCACCUGAUCCUAAGUCAGACAUAAUGUCAAUUAAUAAAGAAACUGGGACUUUGAACAGAUAUUGAAUUUUAGACUGACAUAGUGCCAUAUCAUAAAAUAUUAUGCAAUUUUUAAUUCUAUAUAGAUAUUUAUAUCUAAUUUUAGACAGGCCCAUCUCUAGAACGGUCCCAUCUGGGCCUUGACCUGAACUCCACAUUCAUUACCCUCAACAUUAGGCCCCUUACUUAAAAGGUCCACCUUUAUUCUCUAGAAAUUUUGUUGUUUGUCCUAAACUUUACAGGGGCAGCCCUCAUUCUGGAUAUCUAUAUGGAAUUUUAACCUAAAAAAAUUUUUUUUAUUUUUAAAUAAUUUUUUUACCUAAUUAAUAAUAAAAUGUAUUGAAUAAGAUGUCUGUAUAUUUAUUUGUUUGUCAGUUUUAGUUUUUGAGUUCUACUUCAAUAGUCUAUUAAAAGUGUAAUGGGUUAUUUUAAAUUUAAAAAGUUACUAUUAGUUAAAUAUGAUGAACUACUAACUGAAUAUUUAUAAAUUAUAAAAGAAAAGGUAACUAACUAAAUAUUAUUAUCUCUACAAUCUUUAAAUGUUAUAUCAACUAAUAUAUUUUUAACCAACUAUUUUAUAAAAGAGCAUAAAACACCGAGCUCAUAUCAAUCCCAUCCCAGUGUCAUACCAUACAAAUCUGAUUAAGAUAUAAUGUUGAUGUAUGUAUUAUUUUGUGUAACAAAAUCUUAAUGGUUUUAUGGUGUAGGUACAUAUUAUGUUAUAUUGUCAGUAUAACUUAAUUUUGAUUACUCCACCUUCAAAACCAAUAUUGUAUUAUCAAUUGAUCAAAGUUUUAAUUUAUGUAUUAUAUUUGUUGUUUAGUCAUAUCCAAAUUUUUUUUGUGAUUUAACUUUUAUUUUCUUAAGUAUUUUUUAGAGUAUAAUAGAAAGCUCUACAUAUUUUAUACUUAUUUACAUGAACUUUUAGAUUUAAACCACAUAAUAUAUGUGCAUCACACAGGGGCGUAUUUAGAUUUUUUUUUUUUUGGAGGGGGGGCUGAGGUACUAACACCUAAUAAAAACUUGACAAUAUUAAACUUCUACAAUUCACAUCAUAUAGGCCCAUAGGCAGACUAAAAAAAUUUCGGGGGGAUGGUGCCCCCUUAGCCACCCCUAAAACUACACCUCUGUCAUCACAACAUUAUUUUAUUACCAACAGUGUUCUUUAUCAAUUGUCUGCUAUUACACUGAGAAGAUCACAACAGAGUUGCUAAAAUAUGCAAUCCAUGUAUAAGUGUUUUUAUUGUGAAUAGGGUUUCUUAUUAAUUAAUAAUAUUUUUUUUAUUUAUAAAAUUGAGUUACCUGAAUUAUCCAUGUUAUUAAUUGUGCAUAACUACAUAUCCAUUAAAAAUUAUUUAUCAUAUCACUACCUAUUAUUAUGUUUAAUUACUUAAGUAAGUAUAACACUAGCAAUAUUGUUGUUAGGUACUUUCAAAAUAUGUAUAAAUUUAAAUCAUGAUAAGUCAUUCAUUUUGUUAAUUUAUACAUAAUCGAUAGCUGUUAACUAUUUUGUUGUAGAACAGUUUGCUCACCUUUUAUGUUGUUACUAACUUAUGAACGUUUUUCUGUGAACAAUUAUCUAUAUUUUUUUUUAAAAAACCUAUUUGAUACUAUUUUUAUUUAUAACACAUCAUUAUGUUUAAUAAUUGAUUUGUUUUAUUGUAAACUACUUUGUAAUACAUGAUAAAUUAUUAUUGACUAUUUACCAUUAUGAUUGUGAAAUUAAAAUUAUGUAAACACUUGAUUCUAAUAUUUGUUCUAUUUUAAUGUAUGUAUAGUGGUGGUUCUUAUUUUGUGUUUAGAGGAAUUUCAAUUAACACGCCCCCUAAACUGGUUCUAAAUGGAUAAAAAAAAAGUUAGAUCUUAAUUUUGAUGCCUGAUCCCCGACACACUUUUACCUGACUAAAGUGCAUCAAAAUAAGGGUUUAAUGAAAUUAAUGCCCAACUUUGUGGUGCCAUAAUUCAAGAGUUGAGUGAAAAACGGAUUUUUGAUAAAAUCAUAUAUUUGGUAAUAUAUAAAAAAUAAUUAUCAUACAAUAUUAUAAAUUAUAUUUUAAUUUUAUAAGAACUAUUUUAGUUGUUGUUGUCACAUUGAUUUAAAU